GGCGAACGCUGGCGGCGUGCUUAACACAUGCAAGUCGAACGGAAAGGCCUGCUUUCCCUUGUGGAUUGCGGGUACUCGAGUGGCGAACGGGUGAGUAACACGUGAGUGAUCUGCCCCCAACUUGGGUAUAAGCCUGGGAAACUGGGUCUAAUUCCCGAUAGGACUGCAGGGUGGUGCCUGUGGUGGAACACGAUUUUCUAGUGGUUGGGGAUGAGCUCGCGGCCUAUCAGCUUGUUGGUGGGGUACUGGCCUACCAAGGCGGCGACGGGUAGCCGGCCUGGGAGGGUGGACGGCGACAUUGGGACUGGGACACGGCCCAGACGCCUACGGGAGGCAGCAGUGGGGAAUAUUGCACAAUGGGCGGAAGCCUGAUGCAGCGACGCCGCGUGGGGGAUGACGGCCUUCGGGUGGUAAACUCCUUUCGACCGCGAGGAAGCCACCUGGUUGGAAGGGUGGUGACGGUAGUGGUAGAAGAAGCACCGGCUAACUACGUG
rnacentral:rRNA from 1 species